rnacentral:sRNA from 12 species
UACACCACUGACGGUUGAAACACCGUUUAUCCGCCAUUAUUGGUUUGGGGAGUGAAAAUUAAUCCGACACAGGGCGGGCGUGGCCAAGGUCGGUUGACGCGUCCGCAGGAGAUAGAA